rnacentral:rRNA from 1 species
UACGUAGGGGGGCAAGCGUUGUCCGGAUUUAUUGGGCGUAAAGAGCGUGUAGGCGGCUUUACAGGUCCGUUGUGAAAACUCGAGCUCAACCUCGAGACGCCGGUGGAAACCGUAAGGCUAGAGUCCGGAAGAGGAGAGUGGAAUCCUGGUGUGAGCGGUGAAAUGCGUAGAUAUCAGGAGGAACACCGGUGGACGAAAGCGCUCAGUC